AUGAUAUGUAUGUAUAUGUAUGCAAUGUUUUCAAGGAUCUCGCGGGGUAAACAAAGAAACUUGUUAGAAUUUGAAUUUUGUAGCUUGAUUGAAGGUACUUCAUGUUGCUUAGAGUCCUUCUUCCCGAGUCAAGCUCACCAUAUCAAGUGGGUCAUAGCCCCUGACUCAAGUUAUCGUGCUUGGAUUCCUAGACAACCUUGGCUAGAGGAAAUAGAUCCCCUUUUCCCCUUGCUGGACAUUUAG